AGAGCCUAAGUUUAUAACCUUGAUGCUCUAGGGUCGUAAAGGCCACACCAAAAUGACUUCUCAACGGAAGCAAACUUUCCCUUGAAGGCUUUUGAGUCCUGUCGACAGAAGGAACUCUGACCAUCUGAAACAGGAAGCCCUGUGACCUCAAGUUCACAAGUUCUAGGAUAGGAUCACAGGCUCUGGACCCAGACACUGGAGUUCAAACUCCUGAGUCAUCAUAUACUAGCUGAAAAUACAAUCAAGCUUCUGUGUCAUGCCUUCCCCUCAUCCCAUCUGUCUCCUGACCAAACCUGGUGCCUCUCCAUGAGGCCAUGCAUGGCAUGGCAAGCCUUCUUGAAUCCAGGAUAAGAAAGCUGUCAUCUUGUGCAGUGAAGAGGCCCAGGUGGUGAAGCUUCCUCUCAAUAGCCAGCCAAGAUCUGGUGCCUACUAACAACCAUGAGAGUGCAUUUGAAAGUGGAUUCUUCCAUCCUCACGACCCUU
ensembl:lncRNA